GUCCUCGGGCAGCUCACUGCAUGGUCGUCUGGUGCCCCCGCCGCCUGCAUCCCCGCCGCCGCCCCGCGACGCCCACCGCCGCCUGCCCUGCCGCCGCCUCCUGCGCCGCCUCGGGACCGGCUGUAUGAUUAGGCCACAAUCUUCAAUGAGUAGACAUAUUCCUCAGUUCUGUGGUGUUCUCGGUCACACAUUUAUGGAGUUUCUGAAGGGCAGUGGAGAUUAUUGCCAGGCACAGCACGACCUCUAUGCAGACAAGUGAACUGUAGAAAUUCAUUACUACUCCACCAAGAAACCCCCAUAAGAGUGGAUAACCUGGACACAGGCGUGUUGAAUUGAAAUCUGCAGAGCAUUUGACAAGAGCUCAGACCUGGAUGGGGUAAACCUCAGUGCACUUCCUUUGUAUUGCCUCAGUAUUACUGGAUUGAAGAAUCACUGCUUCUUGUUAGGAGGUUCAUUUCAGUGCCCGUUUCUCCCAAUUCUACUCAAGCACUGAGAAUUUCAAGUGGAGUAUAUUGAAUAUUGAAGUAGACUUCAGGUUGUUUUUUGGUUUUGUUUUUUUUUUUUCCUGUUUUGGUUUUAAAUCAUUUCUGUAUUCAAUUUUUUAAUUCUUUCAUAACCCUAUUGGGUGUUUUUUUUUUUUUUAAACUAAAUUAACAUGGCUCGAAUGAACCGCCCUGCUCCUGUGGAAGUCACAUACAAGAACAUGCGAUUUCUUAUUACACACAAUCCAACCAAUGCGACCUUAAACAAAUUUAUAGAGGAACUUAAGAAGUAUGGAGUUACCACAAUAGUAAGAGUAUGUGAAGCAACUUACGACACUACUCUUGUGGAGAAAGAAGGCAUUCAUGUUCUUGACUGGCCUUUUGAUGAUGGUGCACCACCAUCCAACCAGAUUGUCGAUGACUGGCUAAGUCUUGUGAAGAUUAAGUUUCGUGAAGAACCUGGUUGCUGUAUUGCUGUCCAUUGUGUCGCAGGCCUUGGCAGAGCUCCAGUGCUUGUUGCCCUAGCAUUAAUUGAAGGUGGAAUGAAAUAUGAAGAUGCAGUACAAUUCAUAAGACAAAAGCGGCAUGGAGCUUUUAACAGCAAGCAACUUUUGUAUCUGGAGAAGUACCGUCCGAAAAUGCAGCUCCGCUUCAAGGAUUCCAAUGGUCAUAGAAACAACUGUUGUAUUCAAUAAAACUGGGGUGCCUGAUGCCAUUGCCUUGGAAGUGGAACUUCAGAUGGGACCUGAUUUGUCAUGCAUAUUACCCAAUGUGUCGGCUUACUGAAUAAGUCUACUGCAGCUCCACAGGAAUACUGAAAAACCAGUCUUACCAGGCAACAAGUUUGACAGAAUUGCAACCUCUAUAUUUGGGCUAUGAUCAACAUGUUUGGACACUUAGCAAAAGAUUUUUGCUGGUCAGCAUUUAAAAUGUGCUUAUUAUUUGUACCAAUUGACCUUUCCUAAAAUAAGGUAUUGAGUUAUGUCAUUAAAUGUACUCCUGUGCCAGAAUAUUAUUAGUCUAUAAGGAAUUUAGAAGGAUUAGGUGCCAAAAUACCCAGCACAAUACUUGUAUAUUUUUAGCAUCAUACAGAACCAAAAUUGCAGGAACUGAGAACGCUAGACCAUCCAUGGUGUAUUCCUUCAGUCAUUUCAAACACUGCAGGGCUUCUCUCGUUAUCUGCCUGCUCACUCUGUUUACAUCUCCCACACUUAUGCCAGAAUACGUCAGGUUUGCUUAGCCAUCCUUUAUUUUUUUAUUUUUUUUUUUAACUAAGUCUUGCGCUGAUUAUUUAAUAUGUCUGUCUCAUUUUGUUUUGUUUUGGGAAACCUCUGUUUGAAAAUCAACUUUGUUACAGAAGCACAUAUCUUCAACAAUGUCUCCAGACAAAAAGCCUUAUAGUUAAUUUAAUGUUUGCACUCAGAAGUGCAACCUAGCAGGGAGGGCCUGAAAAAGAAACGAGAGGAGGCUAUUAAAUAUUUUUAGUAAUAUGUUGCCUUUGUCAUGUGCAGAACAUGUAGAGUAUGCUCUUUAAUUUAGUAAAUAUUUUUAAGACAUAGAGAUACAUUGUUGUAGCUAACCAAUUCUUAAUCAAAAUUUCUGAAAUUUUUGUGUUUUCCAUACCUAUCAGAAGUUUUCCAGCUUGUUUGAAUUAUGGCUUUCCUCUUCCCAAUCUCUUGCAAAAAAGACAAAGUGGGAUGGAUCUGCUAGUGAACUGAGCAGAAAUGUUUUAUACGCCUUUUGAGCUAUGUAACUUAAUAAUUGGAUACUUGAUCAUUUGUUUUAUUAUGUAAUCGAUAAAAUGGUGAUGUGUAUUAAAGUUAGUUCAACCAUAUAUUUAUACUGUCUGGGAAUGUGUGGUUAUAGUUCUGUGGGAGAAAUAGUUUGUCAGUGUUCACCAGCUUGUAAAAACUUAGUACGAGAGCUUCAACAUCUAAAUAAAUGAUGAAACGCAUUCGUCACUGAGGACACUUUUGCCUAAAAUUAACUUAAUUUGUAGAAAACAAUGGAUUCAGUUAAUAUCAUUUCAAUUUAUGGAAAAAAUUGUUAGGGUUGCCAAGUGCUUUUUAUUAAAAGUUUCUCUUUAAAGGUCUAGAUAAUUGUGAAUCAGUUGAAUGUUGGGCACCGAGGGGAAACAGUUUGUAAUAGAUGAUCUAGAUUUUUCAGUUCAGUUCCAUCAGUCACUUGUAGCUCUGCAAUUUCCAGACCAGUUUUCUCAUUUUUAAGUUCAUUACAUGCCUGUAUAUAUUUUGAAAUUAAUUUGAACCUGAGUAUUUGGCACAUGAUGGCUUAAUAAAUUUUAACUUUC